AUCAUCUUUCAUAUUUCUCUUUCUCUUACCACUCCACAGUGGGUCCUUAGCCAACCCUGUGUGUUUUACUUUCAACACUACCAUGCUGGUCCAACCACCUGUUCUCUCUUUUUUUUUUGGAUCAUUACAGGAAGAUCCUAACUGGUAUUUCUGAAUCCAUCCAAUCCCUCCUUAACAGGAGUGAGAGGGAUUCCAGUUAAAGUACUUCCUCAUCUGUUUAUGUCAUAGAGAGUCCCUCAGGCUGAUCCCAAAUACUUCAUUUCUAUAUGGAAUAAUGGUUGGAGUCUAUGUCAGUUGCAUUAUUGGCUGGCUGGAAAAUUUAUCUAGAUCUCUAAGAUAUUACAGUCCAGGAAAUCCUGUGUGCAUGAACUUACCACAUUAUCACAACCAGAGACAUUGUG
rnacentral:lncRNA from 1 species